GCAAUAUGUCAAACUUUAUUUUAUCACAUUCUAAAGCUGCAUUUUUCAUAUUUCUUAAACAGACAGUGCAGUAACCAAAGGGGGGAAUGGGGAAGAGAAGGAGGAAAGAAGAGAGGAAAAGAUAUUGGCAGCCGAUCCUCAAUGCCAAAUGCCAAACUCAGGUACAGCAUUCUUUUAUAGAUAACUCUUAAACAUUAUGCCAGAUCUCCGUAGUGCCUAUUAUAGUUGCCCUCAGCAGAAUAUUCAUUUCACAGAAUCUCAUUUAAUAGACCUAAUAAAUUAACCAAAUGAUCAAGUGGUAUGUCAUACAUUAUCAUUCACUUAAUUUCUUUUAUUACUCAGAUCCAGUAUACCUGAAUUUUGGGUAUAUUCUUUUUCUUUUUUUUAUGCUGUUGAACAAAACCAAUGGACCAAUUUCAUGCCUGUUGGCAUACCAAAGCAAUAUUUGCCAGUUCCAGUGCUGUCAAUUAUGAUGGCCAAUUCUUGUCUUCACAACAGAUGCAGAACUUGAGUCCCAUGUACACAUGAUCCUUAGCAUGAUUUUUUUCUUUUUCACAGCUGCUGCUCACUGGGAUGACAUCGUCACUGUAUCGUCACUGUACCAUCCACUAUGACCCCAAAGUCUCAUUUCUGGUCACUCACUGCCAGUCCAGACCCCAUGAACAUAUAUAUGAAAUUAAGGUUUUGUUUUAUUUUGUUUGCCCCAAUGUGCAUCAUUUUCUGCUUGCUUACAUUGAAUUGCACUUGUCAUUUUACUGCCCAUUCACUCAGUUUGGUGAGCUCUUCACACUCCCUUUUUUUCUUAACCACCCCAAGCAAUUUAAUAUGAUCUGCAAACUUGGAUACCUCUUGCUCACCACUCAUUCUAAAUCAUUUACAAGCAAGUUAAAAAGCACAGCCCCAAAUAAUGAUACUUGGGGUGCUCCACUUUCUCUACCCCUUUUUUGGAAGAACUGUCCAUUUAUUCCUGCUCUCUUUUUCUUAACCAGUUACUGAACCAAAAGAGGACUUCUCAACCCAGAAAGGAAGCAAUGGCUAGUUAGCCAAAAAACCUGAGACAAAUAUAAGACAGGGCAGGCAGCAGGAACAUCCAAACAUCCAAUAUUGAGCAGAUCAUGUGCCUGUCCAGGCAGGAAAGGAGGUCACUUGGGGAAAUAUUUGUAGGAAACAUAAAUCCAGCUGGAGUUUGAGUCUAUAAAUACAACUGAUCAGAAAACAAGAGACGGUCUACAAUUCCAGACAGCCUACUGCUGCCAAAAAGCAGUGGAAGAGAAAGGAUUGGAAUGUUUCCCAGAAGAACCAAUGGCACUGGUUGAAGAGCCACAUGGGCUUCCAAGGUCUGGCACUCGUUUUUCAUAGGAGUAGACUGGCUCCAAGAUAUGGUGGUAGCCUGUGCCAAGGUUCUGGGGCCCUGGCAGCUACCCAAGGAUGGUACCUGAUAACUCAGUGUGCAUCCUAAAACAUGCCCCAGAAUCCUCAGGAAUGCACUGGGGCUCUGUGCCAAGCAGGCAGUGGUUCCAGAUUUGCCUGGUGCAAGAGUGAGAUAGCACACACAGUAGCCUUUUUAGUUGUCACUUAUGGCAGAUUAUUGACAAUUAUGUAAGCAAUUACAUAGAUGUAUGUAUGGUAUGCAUGGAAUUAUUUUACGGGGGCAGGCUUUAUGCUGGGCAGAACUGAGACAUCUGCAAUGCAAUUUAUUUACUUGCUUUAGGGGGGGAACCAUCCCCUGCACCCCCUGGUUAUGCCCGUAAUGGUAUGCCCUUCCUAUAAUAAUCAGAAUGUGCAUCAGUAAAGUAUAUACGUGUGUUGUGCGCACACAAACAUGCCUUGCACAAGUUGAGAAACAAUGUCAGGGAUGUUUAUUAAUAGUCUGCAAAAGGUGUGGGCAAUGAGGUGGCAAAUGCUGCUGAUGACCCAAUGAUUUAGGUUAGCAGAAGCAAGAAAAGAACUGUGGCAGAACAGAAUGGAACUGGAAUAGAACAGAAAUUGGACAAGGAAACAGCAAGUGACACACUGGGCAGGCGACAACAAAGAAAUGCACAUUGCUAAGUACAAUUUAAGCUAUUCGCAUGCGGAUAGCCUUUGGAGUUAGUUAUAGCCUUCCAAGAAACAGAUCCAGGCUUCAGAGCAGGCAGCCAAGGACUCUUGCUUAAUGCACCAAGGAGGCGGUAGGAAAAAAGGCAAAUGAUAACGUGUCAGGCACAGCACUGACAUGGGCCUGCCGCAUAACUGGUGAAUAUAAAAAUAUUAGAAAGCAGUUAUAAAACACAGCAGCAGGCAAAGCUCCUCUUUUGGUUAAGCACUUUCAGCCCUGGCUUUCUUGUCUCUUCGGUUGUGAUAUGAAAGAAGAACCGAUCCAAAAAAGGCGGGUGAGGAGGGGGAUGAAAAGUGGAGCUGAAGGAUUCUGGAUUAAGGGGAGGGGAGCCUAAGGAUUUCUCCUCAGAAUGGCCAAGGACAUGACUUUACUGGUUUUAUUUUUUUUCAGUUUUUAAAAACUCAUUUGUAAGUUUCUCUGUAAGUCCAUGGAGACUGUUAGCAGGGAUGGCUAACAGCUGGCCUGAUCCAGCCCACCCAAGGAUUUUUUUCUGGCCCUUCAAAGCCUGACUGAUUUUGGUGGCAGUAACAAAAGGAAUAAAAAUUAGACACAGUGCUGGGAUGAGCAGGGAUGUUGGAAUCCCUUGUUGAGAAUGCAAACCACAUUCUCCCCAGUCACUUGACCAAGGAGGAAUAACAACAUACCCUCCAACAUUUCUCUGAUGAAAAUAGGGACGUCCCAUUCCAUAAUGAUUAUUUCACUAUUUAUACCCCACACAUCUUAUUGGGUUGCCCCAGACACUCUGGGCAGCUUCCAACCUAAAUAAAAACAUAAUAGAAUAUUAAACAUUUUUUUAAAACUUCCCUAUACAGAAUUGUCUUCAGACGGCUCGGCAGUCGGAUAACUCCAUACCCUCCAACAUUUCUCCAAUGAAAAUAGGGACAUCCUAAGGAAAAGUAAGACAUUCUGGGAUCAAAUCAGAAACCGUGAAGCUUCUCUGAAUCAGAGACGUCCCUGGAAAAUAGGGACACAUGGAGGGAAUGUAAUAAACCCCUCCUUCUCAGCUGAUCUGAAUGGAUCAACUGAGGAAGGCAAGCUGUGUGCCUAUACAUAUGUAGGUAGGUAUAUAUACAUAAGUAAAUGUGUGUGGGUGUUCUCUCUGUGUUGUGUGUGCAUGAGGAGGCCAAACCUACUUCUGGCCACACUCACCGCUAUCCUCCAGCUCCCAGAGGGUUGGCCAAGAGUAAAUACAGCCCCCAGACCAAAAUAGUGUAGCUAGCCCUGUUCUAAACAAAUAAACUUUACUGCAUUUAUUUCAAUGUGUACUUUGCUUUUUCAAAUCAGUGGGGCUUACUUUUGAUUAGUCAUGCACAGAUCUGAGCUGUUAGUAACCUUUUAAAUAAAUCACACCAACUCUGCAUUCUUUAUGUUAGCUGCCUCUACUGCAGUGCAUUGCUUUCAAGACUGAGCUUUUGCUUUUCUAAGGCUCUCCCUGUGUUUACGACCUGCUCUUGCAGUCUCAACCUCUUGGGUACCUGCCUCCCGACUCUUCCAUCCUUUCAGGAUCCAGCCAUUGCUUUGUAAGGCCGGGAUCUUUGAUGUGUUAAGCUGCCCAGUACAAAACUUUGGGGAUUAAUCUUUAUAUUCAUUCUUCACUCCUCAUGAGAAAGUCUUCAAUUUCUUUCUUAUUCUCUAGGUGCUUUGGGAGGAUAGAAUGACAGUUGAAAGUAUCUCAGAAGUCAUCUAGUCCAGUCCCUGAAGGAUGCAACUAUAGCCAGGAUGGGGAACCUCAGGCCAAGGGUCUCAAUGCAGCCCUCUGGGCCUCUCCCCAGGCUGCACCCCUCACUGGCUCUGCUUUGCAACCAGAGUGUUUUUGCCUGGCUGGAAUAUGUCACUGAACUCUGAUAAUGCUUCUUGCUUGUCUGGACGGAGAAGGAUGUAUGAGUGAGUACAGAAACUGUACAUUUGUUGCUCCACCCUCUAUUGUCUCUGGACCCACCCACCACUGGUAUGCGGCACUUGGAAGGUUGUCCAGAAGGAAAUGUCAGUCAUAGCGAGGUUCUAGAUAUUGCCUUAAGUUUCUGGAUCCUUUUGCAGCCCUCCUAGCUCUAAUUGAAACUAAUAAUCAGUUAGUUUGCCCAGGCUCUGAGUCUAGCAAGUCACUCUGCCUGGCCACACUCUUCAGUGUCAAUUGCCGCCCCCAAGCACUACCACAAUAUAAAUAUUAAAUAAUGAGAGUUAAUAUUUAAUUCACUCAUAGGCCUUCUUAUGGAGACAAAACAGUUUAAUAGAAUUCACAAAAGGGUCAGACAUUUAUGAGAUUCUGCACAGCAUUAGCAAUGACAGCUGCUACCUCUGAAUAAAAAUUAUUAGCUAAAGACCAGGAAUUUCCCCCUAAGGAUAGUAACAGUAGAUGGGCAAUCAAUGUGCCAUAAAGUUCCUCAUACAUUUUCCUUGAGCUUAUUGGGGUGGAUUCACACAAAAGGCUCUGCAAGGAAAGCUACAAAUAUAUGAACCUUGUAUAUUUGACAUUAACGAAACUGUGAACAUUGCUUUUAAAAAUGGUUUUAGACAUACCCUUUUUAGAAUGCAAGUAAUGGUUGUAAGUCUUUGAAAUGUUAAAUCUGUUUUCCUUUUUUGCUUACAGAUCUUAUUUGGUGCCUAGUGAAACCAGUGUAUGCAUCAGCUUCCUUUUGUUAAUGCCUAACCUAAGGCUCUUACCUGGGAAUCUUGAAUUCUUUAAUGAACUAGUGAACUGCCUGACAUACCAUGAGGAUGACAGGCCCUGAGCAGCUCAUGGGAAGCCUGGUUCCCCACCACCAUUCAUCUAGUGCAAUUCCACUAGCUGGGAUGAGUAUUAUGAACCCUUCCUACUGCAAGACUACUAAGCAAGGCAUGACAACCAUCUCCAUGGAAUUGCUAACACAAUACCUGGGUGAGGGCUUAGUAACACAAGAUUACUGACGGAUGGAAGAGUUUCAUACCUGGAUAAUCCUACCCUAUUGCAAUUGCUUCUCCUCAACCACAUCCUCUUCCCCAGAACAUCAGGAAUGUCAACAACAGAGGGCCUGGAUGGUGGGGGCAGGCACUGCUUCUGGUCGUCUGAAUACUUUCCAGCAUGGAUGAGCCUUACGCACUAGUAAAAGCAAUCCUAACAGAAUAGUUUAGAAGUGGGCGGAUCAGAAAAAAUUCCCUGAAACAAGCAAGUCUGACACAGAACAGGCUGCAUUGGCCUUACAUAUGUUGGUGCAAAAGGGAAAACUCAAUAAGGGUCUGGUACAUUUUC